UCCAUCUAUCAUCUCUCCCUCCAUCGUAGCGGGGUCAAACAGAGGGACGCUCGGGAGAUGGCGUCCUAUAUCGGCGUGCAUACCCAUACUUCUGAGUAAAACCACGUCCUUUCCUGAUUUGUUGAGGUUGCCCAUUGUCUGCAGAACCCACACCUAAAUCUUUACCAUUGGUGGACAAAGGUUCAUUGCUUGGCAGAUGCCUUCCUUCACCAGUUCUAGACAUGCUAGCCUCUGCAUUAUCACCACCAAUGUUGCCAUCUACAUUUACUGGUUUCAUUAAAUUUACAUCAAACUGAAUGGGAUUGUUCCUGGAGCUUCCACCUGGAUCAUUCCUAUGUUUAUAAAAAUGGGUGUGCA
rnacentral:lncRNA from 1 species